rnacentral:lncRNA from 1 species
UUGUCACGCCCCGAGACCGCUCCCAAUUUGGUCCGGUUCGGGCACGCCGACAGACCGCCGAACGGACCGGGGUUUCCCCUGUACGCGGACAGAGUCUCCCCUGUACGUUCUAGGCGUCGCAAUCCAAACAAGGUACAUUACAAUGGUUCCAACCAGGAACAGAUAUCAAUCAUGAUUGCGUAAGGAAGUAUCAAACAACAUAAACACAUCCUAUGUUAUUACAACAUUCACAUUGGAUUCAUUUACUUACAUCACACUCUAUAUUACAUUCAACUUCCAAAGCAACUAAGUUAUUACAAGUUUAAUACAUUUUAUUCCUUUCAUUUUCUAUACCCCUAAGCUAUGUCGACGGGGUACUGCUAGCUCUGGUCUCUGGGGGUAGGGCGCUAUCUAUGGAGCUACGCCCUUGCCUCGCGCCGCCGCGCCGCUCACGUGCGAACCUGUAAAACCCCAAAACAACGUGGGGUGAGAACCAACUCCAUGGUUCCCAGUGGGUACGGCCACCCAAGGGAGGAGCUCGACCAACAGGUCUAAGGGAGGCAAAUACAAGUUAGUCCAAUAAACAGAUAGAUAUAUAUAUCGUAAACAUGCAACUAACUUUACCUUGCUUUGCCUCGCAACUGCAAUAAUGUCAUGCUAUAUGCAACAGGGAUAUAUGCAACAUGAAUAUCUGCAACAACUAGUAGAAUUAUUGAUUCUACAAUCAAUCUCGCUAAUCUUAGCUCAUGUCAUCCAACUCUAAGGUUUCCACUACCUUAGGUUAUCACAUUUACCACUAGCCCUCAAGGUUCUAUCUACCUUAUUCCAGCUAGCCACCCGACUCGGCCUCGAGUCAAUCAACAGCGGAUAAUCCGCGCUCUGCCCGGCUCGAGGUGAAGGAUCCUGUCGCAUGCACCUCAGCCUGCAAGCCAAGAACCACAUCGCCCAACGGUCCGCCCGAAGGUCCGUGCACCGUGGUCAGGGAUCCGCUA